rnacentral:rRNA from 1 species
UACGAACCGUCCAAACGUUAUUCGGAAUUACUGGGCUUAAAGGGUACGUAGGCGGCGCUGUUAGUCGGGUGUGAAAUCCCAGGGCUCAACCCUGGAACUGCGCCCGAUACUGCAGUGCUUGAGGGAGACAGAGGUAAGCGGAACUGAUGGUGGAGCGGUGAAAUGCGUUGAUAUCAUCAGGAACACCAGUGGCGAAAGCGGCUUACUGGGUCUCUUCUGACGCUGAGGUACGAAAGCUAGGGGAGCGAAGGGG